CGAGCGCCAGGUGUUUCCUGGUCGGGGUGAGAUGCAGUUCUCUCACGCGCUAUCCGACAAAACACAGCGCCACCGCCCGCGCCUUAUUCGCAGCGUCCCUUUAGCUGCCGCCGUUGGACCCUCGCCGCCCAGCGCCCCUCCAGCUGCCGCCCCACCCUCUAGCGCGUCUGCCGCUGCACCUACACAGCCGGAUGCAACCCCGCGCUUUUCCCGGCCGGCGACCCCACCCAUCCGAGGUCCUCCUCCCCCUCACGUCGCCCGCGACCCCGUCCUCCUGCUGACCGCCGCUAUCCGUCUCUGGCGCGCCGCCGUGCGGGAACCCGAACCGAUUCGAGGAGCUUCACGCUGGAUCCGCCCAUCCCACGGCUUCCUGUGGAGCUCCGCCGUCUAGACGCCUUGCCGACGCCGGUGAGUCCUGCGCUGCCACCCCUCGUGCCACAGCCGCGAGGCUCGGAUCUCGCCCCGUCUCAACACCAUCCAUUUCAUCUUCGGCGAGGACUGGCCGCUCAUGGAGCUCCGCGUCUUCCAGGAGGUCUUCUCCAGGGCGCCCGCACUGGUGGAGGCUUCUGGGUUCACGGGGAAGCAUUCGGGGUGGUCGUGAUGUUGCUGCUUCCCGGUGCUCACUUCGUACAGAUGUGCCCGGAGGCGAGCCUCAAGGUCUAGCCGCCUCCGCUGUUUCGCGGCGACCACAUGGUCAGGUGCAUGCCGGAGGAGGCCUUGUCAUGGAAGCGUCAGGCGUGUGUGCAUUAUCAAAUCACAGAGGUGAUCCUUUCGAUUUGGAUAUCAACGUGAGUAUUUAGUGCCCAGGAGCAUGGUGCUCACCCGAAUGCUAAUAAAAGAUUUUCAGUGUGCUUUGCGGCUCUCAAUGUCCUACUGCCAAGGCUUUAGGUUAGUUGAUUAUAAUUCCUGCACGGCGGCACAACCAAGAAUUCAAAUCUUGGUUGAAUAUCAUGAUCUUACAUUUUGUAGUGCUUUUUCUUGAGAAAAUUAUCAAAUAGUUGUAGUUGUACACAUAAUAGUUUUUAGUUGUAUAUAAGAUUUGGGAAGUUGCGCAACACGG
rnacentral:rRNA from 1 species